AUUGAACGCUGGCGGCAGGCCUAACACAUGCAAGUCGAGCGGACGAAGGGAGCUUGCUCCUGGAUUCAGCGGCGGACGGGUGGGUAAUGCCUAGGAAUCUGCCUGGUCGUGGGGGAUAACGUCCGGAAACGGGCGCUAAUACCGCGUACGACCUGAGGGAGAAAGUGGGGGAUCUUCGGACCUCACGCUAUCAGAUGAGCCUAGGUCGGAUUAGCUAGUUGGUGGGGUAAAGGCCUACCAAGGCGACGAUCCGUAACUGGUCUGAGAGGAUGAUCAGUCACACUGGAACUGAGACACGGUCCAGACUCCUACGGGAGGCAGCAGUGGGGAAUAUUGGACAAUGGGCGAAAGCCUGAUCCAGCCAUGCCGCGUGUGUGAAGAAGGUCUUCGGAUUGUAAAGCACUUUAAGUUGGGAGGAAGGGCAGUAAGUUAAUACCUUGCUGUUUUGACGUUACCAACAGAAUAAGCACCGGCUAACUUCGUG
rnacentral:rRNA from 1 species